UUAUUGAAACUUCGGUCGAUUUAAUUUAAUUCUAGUGGCGGACGGGUGAGUAACGCGUGGGUAACCUGCCUUAUACAGGGGGAUAACAGUCAGAAAUGGCUGCUAAUACCGCAUAAGCGCACAGAGCUGCAUGGCUCGGUGUGAAAAACUCCGGUGGUAUAAGAUGGACCCGCGUUGGAUUAGCUUGUUGGUGGGGUAACGGCCCACCAAGGCGACGAUCCAUAGCCGGCCUGAGAGGGUGAACGGCCACAUUGGGACUGAGACACGGCCCAGACUCCUACGGGAGGCAGCAGUGGGGAAUAUUGCACAAUGGGGGAAACCCUGAUGCAGCGACGCCGCGUGAAGGAAGAAGUAUCUCGGUAUGCAAACUUCUAUCAGCAGGGAAGAUAGUGACGGUACCUGACUAAGAAGCCCCGGCUAACUACGUGCCAGCAGCCGCGGUAAUACGUAGGGGGCAAGCGUUAUCCGGAUUUACUGGGUGUAAAGGGAGCGUAGACGGUGUGGCAAGUCUGAUGUGAAAGGCAUGGGCUCAACCUGUGGACUGCAUUGGAAACUGUCAUGCUUGAGUGCCGGAGGGGUAAGCGGAAUUCCUAGUGUAGCGGUGAAAUGCGUAGAUAUUAGGAGGAACACCAGUGGCGA
rnacentral:rRNA from 1 species